AUAGUAUGUUUCUCUUUGGGUGGUUUUAUAAAGCUAUACUAAGAAUGCCAAGUGUUACAUAACCGUUUAUGUUUAGCCUUAGACUUGUAGUAGUGACUUUAAAAAAACAACACAAGCAGCGUUAUUUUUUUUUGUUCAAUUACGUUGUCUCUUAAUUCAUUAUAAGACCUUUAACGCGCAUUUCCUACUCUCAUACCUUCUGUUAUUAUUUCUACGUUGUACCGCUGCCGCACAUGACUUUAUAUUUCACCGCACGCAUGGCCACUGGACUUUAACGGUCGAACGCAUGCGCCGUGGGCUACAUCCGGGGAUGGCACAAGGAUGAACGCCAAUUUUCAAGAUGGCGGCGGAGGGAGGAGGGAAGGAGAUGAACGAGAUUAAAACUCAAUUCACCACACGAGAAGGCGUCUACAAACUCCUCACUCACUCCGAAUACAGCCGCCCGAACAGGGUGCCUUUCAACUCGCAGGGCUCCAAUCCCGUCAAGGUCUCCUUCGUCAAUGUAAACGACCAGUCCGGCAACGGCGACAGGAUCUGUUUCAAUGUGGGCCGGGAACUGUACUUUUAUAUCUACAAAGGCGUGAGAAAGGCUGCAGACCUUAGCAAACCCAUAGACAAACGGAUAUACAAAGGAACGCAGCCCACGUGUCAUGAUUUCAACCCACUCACAGCUACAGCAGAGAGCGUCUCCCUGCUGGUGGGUUUCUCGGCUGGGCAAGUGCAGCUCAUAGACCCAAUAAAGAAGGAAACCAGCAAACUAUUCAAUGAAGAGAGACUUAUAGACAAGUCGAGGGUGACAUGUGUACGAUGGGUUCCUGGGUCAGAGAGCCUGUUUCUGGUGGCACAUUCCAGUGGCAGCAUGUACCUGUACAAUGUGGAAAACACCUGUGGCACCACUGCACCUCACUACCAGCUUCUAAAGCAGGGUGAAAACUAUGCUGUGCACACCUGCAAGAGCAAGUCGGCUCGUAACCCGCUCCUGCGCUGGACAGUGGGUGAAGGGGCGCUUAACGAGUUUGCCUUUUCCCCAGAUGGCAAGUUUUUGGCGUGUGCGAGCCAGGAUGGCUUCCUACGGGUAUUUGGCUUUGACGCUGCAGAGCUCCAUGGAACAAUGAAGAGCUACUUCGGUGGCUUACUGUGUGUGUGCUGGAGCCCAGAUGGACGAUAUAUUGUGGCAGGAGGGGAGGAUGACCUGGUGACAGUAUGGUCCUUUUCAGACUGCAGAGUGAUCGCACGGGGUCAUGGUCACAAGUCAUGGGUGAGUGUGGUGGCAUUUGACCACUGUACUACCAGCGUGGAGGACGGGGAACCCCCUCCAGAGUUUAGUGGCAGCGACGAGGACUUCCAUGAGCAGAUUCAUUUUGGCACAGGUCGAGACAGAGCUAACAGCGCUCAGUCUCGGCUUUCCAAGAGAAACUCUACAGACAGUAGACCCGUCAGUGUGACCUACAGGUUUGGCUCAGUGGGCCAGGAUACCCAGCUGUGUCUGUGGGACCUCACAGAAGACAUUCUUUUUCCUCAUCUCCCUUUGUCUCGUACAAGGACUCACACCAAUGUCAUGAGCGCAACAAGCCCUCCACCCACUGGACAAAAUACUACUGUAUCUUCCACCACCAGUAAUCCUAGUGGCACUAAUGGUAAAGACACUGUGAGCAAUAGUAGCUCUGGUGGUAACCCAGCGAACUCCCUCCCCAACACCCUGCCUCGCUCCAAUAGCCUACCACACUCCUCCAAUCCUGCAGGUGGCAGCACACCCAACAGUCACACGGGCAGCAGCAGCAGUAACAGCAGCAGCACCACCACCACUACCACCAAGGGCAAUAGCAUCAUGGACAGUUCCUUCAUCGCCACUGGGGUCAGCAAGUUUGCGACACUGUCGUUACACGAGUCACGGAAGGAGCGCCACGAGAAGGACCACAAAAGGAACCACAGCAUGGGCCAUAUCAACAGCAAGAGCAGCGACAAGCUCAACCAGCUAAGCUCGUCACGGACAGCGAAAGCCGACGUGGCUAAGACUCUAGGCACCACUCUGUGCCCACGCAUGGAGGAGGUGCCGCUGCUGGAGCCGCUGGUGUGCAAGAAGAUCGCUCACGAGAGACUCACUGUGUUAAUCUUCCUUGAGGACUGUUUGGUAACAGCCUGUCAGGAGGGUUUCGUUUGCACAUGGGCUAGGCCGGGGAAAGUGGUGAGUGAAAGGCAACUCGAGGACACUGUCAUGUGACACCUCAUAACCAACACUGUUCGGAGUACAAGCAUUUGAACGUUUUGCUGCGUUCGGAGGCUGUUAACACAUCUGUUUAGAAAAGCCCCCCGGCCUUGUGAUGGGGAUUGCUAUCAUCUCAAAACAACCCAGCCAACUCCCCCAGUGGAACAGUAGUAUAGCCCCAGUGCUGGCGCUGCUAAUGACAGCUCCAUGCAACAGAGAUGGGGAUGACCAAGGCCAAGGCCCUGCAGCGCUUCUUCACACACUGUCACACACAACACGGUCUUCAGUGGCACCUUCCUUUUCGUUAGUAGAACCACCUACAUGCUCUCUUUUCUGUUACUGCUUAUGUUUGGGUAACGGACGUUGGCAUAAAACCAGGGUUAGAAUUGUGAGCCCCGCUCAUCUCGGGGUGCAGCCUGUGCUAAUGAAAGCAGGAGGGCAAGCUUUAAAUCAUCCAGGGGAGAUGAUGACUGGCUCAUUAAUUCUGCAGUCAUAUCAUGUCAAGCCUAGUGUGAAAGUAACAAACUCCAGUACCUGGUCCUUUGUGCCUGUGCCUGUAGAUCUAGACACAUCGCAUUAGCAUUAAACACUGUGGGAAAACCUUAGCUUAACAUUUUUAUGUUGGCAUUCAAUAGGACAAGGGGCUGUGUUUGCAGAUAAAGGGAAUAUAAUGAGGGAGUUGUGGAACAGCAGUACACCCCCAUUUUUCCUCUUUACCCCCGAGACAGUCUAUAAAGCAGCCACAAUCCUGUUUUUGCUUCUCUUACUAAUACUAUAAUCAGAGUUAUCACACAAAUGUGUUUUGCACAGAUAUUCUUGCCCCCACCCCACACACAUUUUGAAUUGACGCUGAUGGAACACAAGCAGAAUAUUUUGAAGACAGCUCUGGAAGCACUUGGGGAAACGGCAUGUUGUUGCCCUCUCUCAGCCGCUGGAUGCUGCAAUCAUAGUUUUUUAUAUUGAAAAAAGAAAAUCAUUUGCACUUAAUAGUUUGUUAGAGGAGAAUGGCUUUACAUUUUUUGGAGUACGUAAGGACUCCUUUACAAGGUUGAAAUAUAAAUAGAAUUAAAAAAACCUUUGUAUCUAUUAAACAUUUAUUUUAAUAUUGUUUCAGAUUAAAUGGCCUCUGUAUUAUAUGUAAAUAUUGUACUUUGAUGAUUUAUGGGUGAAAUGAUCAUUACAUUAGUUGAAAGAAUCUCAUUUCAGCAAAUAGUGAUAUUUCUAAUACAGAAAGUCUAUACCUAAUAUUAAAAUGACUCUUGAUUAUGCAGGUGAAAAAACGUUUUUUUGUUUGUUUUGUUCUUGUUGUACAUAGAGAGAAUUCAGGUGUAUUUUUAUUAAUGAAACGUUUGGUAUAGGAGAUGUCUAUAAAAUCCUCUUCUCUAACAGGUAGUGCUGAACGCUGCAGAUUCCUUUGUCUAAACGGGGUGUAGGCGCAGAGGCAGCGGUGUAAUUCAGCCAUCACUUUGAGCUCAGGUAAACCACAGGAAGACUAACGCUGGCAUAGCUCCCAUCACCCAUUAGCACUAGUCUCGCCCCUCCGCGUGUGUGAACUCACCCUAACUAACGGAUAAGACGACCGUGUUCUGCAGACAGGGCUGAAAUUUGCGACUCCUCCUAAUUGUGAGUAACAAUUGCCGGACUGAUUCUGAAGUUGUGAACAAACUUUUUGACACUGUGUUGAAUAGCUGCUGACAAAUGUUGACACUCGGUGUACGUGCUUUGGGUGGGGUGGGGGGGGGGGGGUUCUCCAGCGCCCACAUAGGCAGAGUGAACAUUUCAACAGCGGGAGCCUUUUCCUCCAUGUGACGCCUAUUAAAACAGCUUUGACAGAUGAAA